rnacentral:rRNA from 1 species
CCAGGCGGCAGAUAGCGGCGGGGAAACACCCGGUCCCAUCCCGAACCCGGCAGUUAAGCCCGCCAGCGCCGAUGGUACUGGGGCCUUCGGGCCCCGGGAGAGUAGGUCGCCGCCUGGU